rnacentral:rRNA from 1 species
UGGGGAAUAUUGCACAAUGGGGGAAACCCUGAUGCAGCGACGCCGCGUGAACGAAGAAGGUAUUCGUAUCGUAAAGUUCUGUCCUAUGGGAAGAUAAUGACAGUACCAUAGAAGAAAGCUCCGGCUAAAUACGUGCCAGCAGCCGCGGAAAUACGUAUGGAGCGAGCGUUGUCCGGAAUUAUUGGGCGUAAAGGGUACGCAGGCGGUUUAAUAAGUCGAAUGUUAAAGAUCGGGGCUCAACCCCGUAAAGCAUUGGAAACUGAUAAACUUGAGUAGUGGAGAGGAAAGUGGAAUUCCUAGUGUAGUGGUGAAAUACGUAGAUAUUAGGAGGAAUACCAGUAGCGAAGGCGACUUUCUGGACACAAACUGACGCUGAGGUACGAAAGCGUGGGGAGCAAACAGG